ensembl:snRNA U6 U6 spliceosomal RNA
GUGCUUGAUUCAGCAGCACAUAUACUAAAAUUGGAACAAUACAGAGAUUAGCAUGGCCUUGGUGCAAGAAUGACAUGCAAACUUGUGAAGCAUUCCAUAUUUUU